GAUGAACGUUGGCGGCGUGCCUAAUACAUGCAAGUCGAACGAAGACUGUAGUAAUACUGUCUUAGUGGCGAACGGGUGAGUAACGCGUGGGUGACCUGCCCCGAAGUGUGGGAUAACAGUCCGAAAGGAUUGCUAAUACUGCAUAAUAUCCAAGAGAUUAGACGCUUUUGGAUUAAAGGAGUAAUUCGCUUCGGGAGGGGCCCGCGUCCCAUCAGCUAGUUGGUAAGGUAAUGGCUUACCAAGGCGAUGACGGGUAGGGGACCUGAGAGGGUGGCCCCCACAAUGGAACUGAAACACGGUCCAUACACCUACGGGUGGCAGCAGUAGGGAAUAUUAGUAAUGGGCGAAAGCCUGAACUAGCAACGCCGCGUGUGCGAAGAAGGCCUUCGGGUCGUAAAGCACUUUUGUAGAGGAUGAGGAAGGACGGGUACUCUCAGAAUAAGUCUCGGCUAACUACGUAG
rnacentral:rRNA from 1 species